UUUCCGUAGGUGAACCUGCGGAAGGAUCAUUACUGAGUGAGUGCCCCUCGGGGUCCAACCUCCAACCCGUGUUUAACUAACCUUGUCGCUUCCGCGGGCCCCCCCCACGGCCGCCGGGGGGCAUCUGCCCCCGGGCCCCCGACAGCCGAUGUCUUCUGUGAACGCUGUCUGAAGUAUGCGGUCUGAGACAAUUAUUAAAUUAAUUAAAACUUUCAACAACGGAUCUCUUGGUUCCG
rnacentral:misc_RNA from 1 species